GUUCUCCAGCCACAACCACAGCAACUGGCAAGCCUCUGAAUCCAUGCAUCCUUAGUUCCCUUUCCUUCUGCACUUCGGCAGCAACCACAGUUUGUUGAGCGUGUUGUGCGAGCUCAGAUAGCUCAGCUCGCUCCAUGGAGCCCUUCUGCUUCAGUUUGCAGGUCAGUCGGCAUACCACCGCUACUUAUCUGCCCUCAACUGCAAGAAUUUUGCUAGAAACAAAUCCAUAUUGUUCUUACUGUACUUUUAUGUUCUUAUUACUCCCUUUGUAUCCUAGAUAAUCAGCUGUAUGCUAAUUGUGUCAUCACUUUUUUUUUUGCGAGUAAUUGCGUCAUCACUUAUCACUGCUGUCCAUAGACAUCGCACCAAGCACUUUGGAAGAUUUGGAGCUGUUCCAAUAAGAACAACGAAUCUAAUGGUGUGAAAAGUUAUAUGUCCUGAAGACGGUGAGCCGUACGUUGGUGAUCAAGACCAAACCUUUGAGG